GCGACACUAGCUCAGUUGGUAGAGCGCAACCUUGACAAGGUUGAGGUCACGAGUUCGAACCUCGUGUGUCGCUCCA
rnacentral:tRNA from 1 species